GCAGGCUCGCGCUUGAAUACAUUAGCAUGGAAAUAAUGAAAUAGGACGUUCGAUCCUAUUUUGUUGGUUUCUAGGAUUGACGUAAUGAUUAAUAGGGAUAGUUGGGGGCAUUAGUAUUCAAUUGUCAGAGGUGAAAUUCUUGGAUUUAUUGGAGACUAACUACUGCGAAAGCAUUUGCCAAGGAUGUUUUCAUUAAUCAAGAACGAAAGUUAGGGGAUCGAAGACGAUCAGAUACCGUCGUAGUCUUAACCAUAAACUAUGCCGACUAGGGAUCGGAUGAUGUUAUUUUUAAUGACUCAUUCGGCGCCUUACGGGAAGCCAAAGUGUUUGGGUUCCGGGGGGAGUAUGGUCGCAAGGCUGAAACUUAAAGGAAUUGACGGAAGGGCACCACCAUGGGUGGAGCCUGCG
rnacentral:rRNA from 1 species